rnacentral:rRNA from 1 species
UACGGAGGGGGCUAGCGUUGUUCGGAAUUACUGGGCGUAAAGCGCGCGUAGGCGGACCUGCAAGUCGGGGGUGAAAGCCCGAGGCUCAACCUCGGAACUGCCUUCGAUACUGCGGGUCUCGAGUCCGGGAGAGGUGAGUGGAAUUCCUAGUGUAGAGGUGAAAUUCGUAGAUAUUAGGAAGAACAGCCAGUGGACGAAGG